UGAAGGAGGUCUUGUGUUUGAAUCUUGGUGUGGUCAUUAUUUUUGCUCGUGCAUCCAAGAGAGUUUGAGAUGGACUAAAAAUCUGAGUAGUGGAUUUAGUGGGGAGAUUGAUGGAGAAAAAUAAGGGAUUGGGGUGGUUAUCAAAUAUUCUGUUCAUCUUUUUUUUUCUUUUUUUUUACUUCCCCAAAAUCCUUCCUCCCUCUUGCCAUUUUUCUCUUCAUUCCUGCCAAAUUUCUGCUCUCUUUCACCCUUUAUCUUUUUAUUUUUUUCCCACUCUGCCUCGUGUUGCUCCACAUUUGUCUAUGAUCGUUCGGUAAGUUUUAGAUAAGUGAUUUGUCUCCAUUUGUUAAAUUUCUUCUGAAUUGUUUUGUUUAUGCCAAUUAGGG
rnacentral:lncRNA from 1 species